AUGCUGCGCCUGGCAUUGGUCAUCCUGGUGGCCUCCCUGUGGAGCUGCUGGAUCAAGGUAUUUGCAGAAGGAACUAGGCUCAUAGUAACUCCUCCUGAUAAAAGUCCUAAUGAAGACAUUUCCCCCAAGCCUACAAUUUUUCUUCCUUCAGUUGCUGAAAAAAGACUCCAUGAUGCUGGAACAUAUCUUUGUCUUCUUGAGGAUUUUUUCCCUGACAUUAUUAAGAUAGAUUGGAAAGAAAAGGGUGGCAAAACAAUUCUGAAAUCCCAGCAGGGAGACACCAUGAAGACUAAAGACACAUACAUGAAAUUCAGCUGGCUGACCGUGACUGGAGCAUCAAUGGAUAAAGACCACAAAUGUAUCGUCACACAUAAAAAUAAUAAAGGAGGGGUUGAUCAAGAGAUUCUGUUUCCUUCAAUAAAAAAAGGUUUGGUGGCAAUGAUGGGAUCCAAAGUGGACUUUCAGGGGCAUCCAGAGACAAGGGCACCCAAGACAGGGGUGGUUACUGUGAGCCCACGGAGGUCGCUGUCUCUCUCACCAUUCUCAAGGGCUAUCGCCACCCUGCAGCUGCAGCUCACGAACACGUCUGUCUACUACACCUACGUCCUCCUUCUUGUGAAGAGCGUGGUCUACUCCGCCAUCAUGGCCGUCUGUCUGCUCGGGAGACCAGCACUCUGUGGCAGUGGGACAAGUUCCUAACACAUCGUGCAUGGCACCAAGGGUCUACUUGUCUCCAUUGGCUAUUGUCCCUAAAAGUGUCCGCUGAGGAUCUAGCGGGCUUGCUUUCUCCGUUUGGGUUAUUUCAGUUCACAUGUGCCUCUUUCUAUUGUGUCAUUUCCUCAGAACAGGUUAACACACCCCUGGGCCAACAGAAACUUUCACUCUGCAACAAGAAUAAAUGUUGUCAUGACUCAGGGGCAGGGCCAGGCGACCAUCCACAGGGGCCUCAGCACCACUCUCUCCUUAGUGUCCACCAGCCCCCUCAGCCACCCAGACCCCACGCCUCCUAGCACAGCCAGCAUGCAACUUCUGGUCGUGUCCCCCAGGGCUCUUUCACCAGAAAGACUUUUCUUUUACAUACCUGGAAGCUGUCAUCCUUGCUACCUGAACGUUGUAGUGUUUUUCGUAAUAGACACAAUAAAAACAAGCAAAAGUCUACGUAGGCCUCU